GCACAUCAGGCAGGGGAGCGACAGUGCGUGCCUGCGCGCCGGCAGCCGAUGGAACUGAACGAUGUGCCGUUUGCCGUAGCUAGCGCAGAGCUGCCUAACAGGAUCAGUGCUCUCCCUUAUUAGAGGCAAUUACGUACUUCGUCUGCCUAUCACAGUGCCCCGGCAGGGCCACACUGCUCAGAUCUUUUCUUUCAGGCUCCCUCCAAGGUCACGUUUAAGGUUUUGGGGUUGGAUUGUUCACCCACUAGCAGGGAACGUGAGCUGGGCUUAGACCGUCGUGAGACAGGUUAGUUUUACCCUACUGAUGAUGUGU
rnacentral:ncRNA from 1 species